AUAGAGUUGAGCUAGAAUACUCUCGAUAGUAAACAGGGCGUUUUACUAUCGAGUUGUUUCGAUGAUAGAGCUUCCAAAUUGACGAUCGGUUCCGUUAAAUAUGAUCUAAACCAUUUAAACUACCUAGAAAUCAAAUUUCACGCACUUUCGAUAUUGUUCUUUUAUCCAUCUAGUGAACAAAAAAUGAAUGGCUGAAAAUGAAUAUUCUUUAAAAAAUGAUGAUAGGAGUCUUGCAAUCAAGAUCAAGAGUAUAGAUCUUGUUUUAAAUAGUUUAAAGAAUUUUCUAACAAAAAUUUAAUUGAUUUGGAUAUCUUUACACCGUUAAACGAGAAAACGUCUCUUAUCCACCAUUAAAAUUAUAAAUUUUUAAACGCUUUGAUCAUUAGGCAAAUGAUGUCGAAAAGAUUUGAAAUUUAAUUUCUAAACACUUCAAGUGGUAUAGAUCAUGUUCAACGGAGCCGAUCGUCAAUUUGGAAGCUCUAUCAUCGAAAACAACUCGAUAGUAAAACGCCCCGUUUACUAUCGAGAGUAUUCUAGCUCAACUCUAUAUAUAUAUAUGCUUAAAAACUGUAUGAAAUUACUACUAAACUUUUUGGUUGAUAGUUUAACUCUUCUAUAUUUUUCAGAUGUAUCGAUCGUCCUUAGAGCAAGUGACAAAGAGUUUGGUAGUUGGUAUUCAAGACUCAAGUUCAAAUCCUAGUUGAUUCAUAUUUUCAGCUAAGUUUAUUUCUAAAUGAAAUAAACGAAACGUACAGUGUGCUAUCUAUCUCUCAAAAAAAAAAAAAAAAAUUUUUUUUUCGGAUGUCUUUU
rnacentral:lncRNA from 1 species